UUUUUGUAUAGGUCCACCAUCUUCUGGCUCAGUCAUUCCCUUCUAAUUCACCUACUAUUAUUCUUUUCUUUAUCGUCUUAAAAUUCAAGUAAGGCAUCACCUCUCCAUGAAGGAUUUGCCCCUAAAGACACACACACUUACUUGUGAGUAACAUCUGUCCUCUGGUAGUGCCUAAGGCGUUCCUCUAUCAGGACAGGUUUCAUAUUACAUAGUAUUCAAAAUUAGUGUCUAUGUGUCUUUUUUCCCCUGGUGGAUUGUGAACUCCUCAAGGAAAGGGGCCAUGUUUUAUCUGUCCCUGAAUUCCUUGCAUGUAGCACAGGCCUGCCCCGUGGUGAGCAGGUAACAAAUCUGAAGAGAGGUGAGAGUGCUAGCUUAAGUGCUGGUUCCUCAGGCACACACUGUGUCAACUGCUCUUGUUUUAACUGACCAGGGUUGAACUUUGGCAACAUCUUUAGCAAGAAAGGAAAGGAGCGGUGUAAUGUGCUACUGCAUAGGGAAGAGCUCAAGCUUCAGUUGCCUGCCUCAUGGCUGUUCUGAGCUAUCAGGAUGCACCUAGAAGAACCACAGGAGCAUGGACGAACCCUUGAGAAAGAAGGUAGAUGACAGUGGGGAGAAGGUAUUCAACAGAGGAUCAUGAGGCAGGGAGGGAAGAAGCUGUGAUUGAUCAAAGAUGGGUGUAUACAAGAGACAGUUUUUCAUCUCAAAUAUGCCAUUGUAUUCCACAUUCUUUCAAAAACAUUUCAAGUUCUACAUUUCCAAAUAUUAAAAUUUCACUUGUUUUUGGCUCAUGUUCUUUAUUCCUCUUGAAUUACUCAUAAAUCUAUGAACUGUUGUUCAUUUGUACUUCUACCACAAUGUUAUAUAUUAA
rnacentral:lncRNA from 10 species